rnacentral:rRNA from 1 species
CCAGACUCCUACGGGAGGCAGCAGUGGGGAAUAUUGCACAAUGGGGGAAACCCUGAUGCAGCAACGCCGCGUGAGUGAAGAAGUAUUUCGGUAUGUAAAGCUCUAUCAGCAGGGAAGAAAAUGACAGUACCUGACUAAGAAGCCCCGGCUAACUACGUGCCAGCAGCCGCGGUAAUACGUAGGGGGCAAGCGUUAUCCGGAUUUACUGGGUGUAAAGGGAGCGUAGACGGCUGCGCAAGUCAGAAGUGAAAGCCCGGGGCUCAACCGCGGGACUGCUUUUGAAACUGUGUAGCUAGAGUGCAGGAGAGGUAAGUGGAAUUCCUAGUGUAGCGGUGAAAUGCGUAGAUAUCAGGAGGAACACCGGCGGCGAAGGCGGCCUGCUGGACCGUGACUGACGUUGAGGCUCGAGAGCGUGGGGAGCAAACAGGAUUAGAUACCCCAGUA